UAGAAACUUUUUUUGUUUGUUUUGGUGUUGGAACAUUAUACUAUUUCCCUGAAUACGUUUUCUUUAUCGCAGGCUAAAUCUUAAAAUUGUUAAGCAGGCUUUUGUGUGUUUUCAGUUAUUUCACAGUUGAAGGCUAUAUUAUCCUCUAGAACUAAUUUUAAGAUAUUUUUGAAGUAACUGUCCUUGCUGAAGUUAUGAAGAUGCAAAAUUGUGGCGCGUAAUAUUUCUUCUCGUCUGUAUAUUAUAACAUGCUGUGCCGGCCUGGUCAGCAGGUGAACUUGACCAUUGACGUCAUGAAUCUUCUCACAAGGACACCUGUUGGCUCCAGGCGAUAAGAGGCAGCUGUUUCCUGAGACACUAUCAGAAACAUUUCUGCUUGGCACCACUGAGUGGAGAAGGAGGCACCAGGCCCUCGAUGAGUGUCCUUCAGGGACGGUAUAAAGACCAAAGCCAAACUCCUUUAUUUUGCCAUCACUGCCAUCGACAGUGAACAUGCUGCCUGCUGUUGUCAAGCUCUGCUGUGGCAUCUCCUACCCACACCUAAGGAGCACGGCAGUGCUACAAUGCACAGCUGUGGCAGUGAUAGGCCAGGAAUUCACAAGCCUGCAGCGGCCAAGAGCACAGAUUGAUUCAAGUUUUGAUGAAACCAAACCAAAGCGUGUAACGGCUGAGCCAAAUGAUCCACUGUUUCACAUGCAGCUCGGCCAACAAGCAAUGUUGAAGGCUCUGAGGAUACUGGAAGAUAAAGAUGGCUGGGAGGUGCGAUUCAAAGAGAGUAACGGAGACGUGAUUUGUAGCAAAGUGAUCCCAGGGGCUAGGACGGUCUUCAGGUUGGAGGCUGUGCUGGAGGCCAGUGUGGAUGAGCUGUAUGACCUUCUGUUUGCAAGAGUGGAGGAGAUGCACAAGUGGAAUCCACAAAUACAGCAUAUCAAAGUUCUCAAACACAUAGGACCUAAAACCAUUGUCACGCAUGAGGUUUCAGAAAGAAAUCUGUUUGGCCAAAGGGAUUUCCUGAGUGUCAGACAUAGCUGCAAACAAAAAUCCAGAGUUUACCUGGGAGGAGGAGCUAUUAAGCUGGAGAAGUUCCCGCCUCAGGCAGGCUUUGUCAGAGCAGAGGAUGGACCCACAUGCAUCAUCAUAGAAGCAGUAAAUGGAGAAAGCAGAAAAAGCCACUUCACAUGGCUUUUAAAUAUGGAUGUCAAGUUAACUACGCUGGUGACACUGAUAAGAAUACAGAGGCGGGAGGUUUGAAGGUGAAAGAGGAAGUAAAGAGCACAAUCUGUCAGCCAGUCGAAGCAGGCGAUGAAUGCUGGCUGCCACAGUCGAUUGUCGAUCGCACUUUGCCUCAAAAACAGCUGGAUUUCACUAGUUAUCUCCGCAGACGUCUCACCGCAAGCACCACCCUGGGAUGACUGACUCUCUGUGAACCACACAUGGCAGAUGGUUAUGUCUUGUGUUAUUGAAUGUCUACUUUUGACAUCCCAAGCUAAGUUUCCUUUUACAACGUUCAAUGCAAACUAAACACCUGUGGGUGUAUCACUGUGGGUGUUUUCAUGUGUCUGUUAAUUUGUUCCUGGAGAACUUAUGUUUUCCUCUUCUUCUUAUUCAGAUCUGACUUUUCAUCUUCAUCAUCCAUCAUUGUUUGCUGCUCUGCAACCCUUUCUCCUUUUCCUCCUCCUCCUCUCACUCUCUCCUUUUCUGAGCUCACUGGAAACACACCAAUAGACCAACUGGGCUGUCCAUCUGGGCUUCUCUAGCUCACAUGCACUACAGCUUAUUGUCCUCUUUCAAAUAAUACAGGCUGUUAGGUUGGUACACAUAAGUCAAGAAAACUGCUGUAGUACUUCAGUAGAGUGUUCCAAAUACAGCUAAUGAUAAUUAAAUAAAUUUUGUUAUAAAAAAUCAUUCUGGAGGGUGACUACUAGCCCAGUAAAGGCUUAGAGAUAGCCAAAAACAGGUAUCAUUUAGCUAGAAAACAUGUGUUUUAGAACAUAUUAUAAAUUAAGAAAAAUGUCAAAAAA